rfam:Verticillium longisporum isolate VL1 genome assembly, contig: scaffold_58
GCCCGGCUAGCUCAAUCGGUAGAGCGUGAGACUCUUAAUCUCAAGGUUGGGGGUUCAAGCCCCCCGUUGGGCU